rnacentral:rRNA from 1 species
UACGGAGGAUCCAAGCGUUAUCCGGAUUUAUUGGGUUUAAGGGGUGCGUAGGCGGAUUGAUAAGUUAGAGGUGAAAUGUCCGAGCUCAACUCGGGAACUGCCUCUAAUACUGUUGAUCUAGAGAGUAGAUGCGGUAGGCGGAAUGUAUGGUGUAGCGGUGAAAUGCUUAGAGAUCAUACAGAACACCGAUUGCGAAGGCAGCUUACCAAUCUAUAUCUGACGUUGAGGCACGAAAGCGUGGGGAGCAAACAGG